rnacentral:rRNA from 1 species
UACGAAGGGGGCUAGCGUUGCUCGGAAUCACUGGGCGUAAAGGGUGCGUAGGCGGGUCUUUAAGUCAGGGGUGAAAUCCUGGAGCUCAACUCCAGAACUGCCUUUGAUACUGAGGAUCUUGAGUUCGGGAGAGGUGAGUGGAACUGCGAGUGUAGAGGUGAAAUUCGUAGAUAUCUGGAGGAACACCGGUGGCGAAGGCGGCAUCCUGGACCGAAACUGACGCUGAGGAGCGAAAGCCAGGGGAGCAAACGGG